GUACUGAUGAAGAAUCCGAAACUUGGACGAAACAGCUGUCCUGUAC
rnacentral:hammerhead_ribozyme from 1 species